UACGGAGGGUGCAAGCGUUAUCCGGAUUCACUGGGUUUAAAGGGCGCGUAGGCGGUCCGAUAAGUCCCGUGCGAAAGCCCCCGGCUCAACUGGGGAACUGCACGGGAAACUGACGGACUUGAGUUCGGGAGAGGGAAGCGGAAUUCCGGGUGUAGCGGUGAAAUGCGUAGAUAUCCGGAGGAACACCGGUGGCGAAGGCGGCUUCCUGGACCGACACUGACGCUGAGGCGCGAAAGCUAGGGGAGCAAACGGG
rnacentral:rRNA from 1 species